rnacentral:misc_RNA from 1 species
GCAUUAUGAGAGUGCUUCCUUGCGUUUUAUGAUACAAAAUCAAGGGACAUACAUGCACCCUAGAAAAGCUUAUUCAAAUCUCUGGGGAAGGCAAGCUUAUACACAUGUUUAUAAAAUGCUCUUGAAGAUGAGUCGAAAAGAAGAUGUCCUAAAACGCAAGGAAGCACUCUCAUAAUGCCCAAUUCUCAUAAUUGUUCUUUAGCAUGCAGCCACGAAAAAAGCCUUGUCAGCAGCAGAGUUAUUAAUAAGCGACCAGCUCUCCUGUCAAGAAUGUCAAACGCCCUCCAUCUAGGAAGUGAAAUUUAUGAGCAUUGGACUUUGAUUUCCAUCAUAGAUGUUAUGUACAAGUCUCCCCUCCGUGCUCACAACCUAAGGAAACCUGAAGGCACCAAGCCUUAAACUUCAACUAUAUAAAAAUUAGCAUCUCCAUGCUUUUAGUUAUUGGUUUCCCCUACAAGUAAGAUUACUGCCACCUAAUGCUCUGCAACCAAUGUGUAAAUCAUAAUGUAUCUGGAGGCAACUAAUGCAGACCGCAGCACUCAUAGCAAUCCCAAAAUUAUGCCACCAUCCAUCACCAGAGAAAACAAGUCAAUACAACAAUAAGGCCACACCAUUUCAAUUCUUCCCACCAGACAAUUCUAGGAUAUCACAUCUCAUAAUAGCUCAAAAUGCAAGCUGCAGAUUAUCUAGAUGAUGUCUGCAGAUUAUCUAGAUGAUGUCCCCUGAGCCACAUACAUUAAUGGAUCCAAUCCUGAAUUACUACUUCUCAACUUCCAGACAAAACAUAAUGAAACUCAAUAUAGCAGCAAAGGGUGAACAAAAAGAUGACUACCACUCAAACAGAACUUCUGAAAAUCAACCUUCAUUCCCACACACUGCACACCAAAGGAAUCACAUAGCGGGUUAUAACUAGCCCCUUCAUAUUAAUGCCACUUCCUAGAUUUCCCAUGACAAUCAUAUACAUUGCUCUCCAGAAUGA